AGAUCUCAAACUCUCUUUCUCUUCUGUUCAUUUCUACAAAUGCUGAGUGGCUGAUCGGCGUUCUCUUCUCAGUUGUUUGGUUCCAUUGAAGCGGACCUUGAUUCUACUAAAAGCAAUCUGCCAAAGGUCCGAUCAGUUGUUUGGUUCCAUUGAAGCGGACCUUGAUUCUACUAAAAGCAAUCUGCCAAAGGUCCGAUCAGACUGCGAGGGAAUCUGCCGGAUGAAAAUCGUACUGGUGCAGGAGUAUGCUGCUGAUUGGACUUACAGAUGCGAAGAAGCUAUCAAUCCUGUCCUCGCUUAUCUGGAUCAUCUCCUCUUUUUUUUUUGAAUGUUAUAGGGAUACAAAUGGCUUCAAGAAAUGGAUCCCACUGCGUGAGUGUUUCAAACCUAAUGGCUUUGUCCGCGCAUAGGCAUCUUCUGUGGAGAGAUGUAGUCGUGCACGGAUUGUGAUGCUGCGUGUCGAAUCUAUGUGCAGCAUGUAGUGAUUCUGUUAUUGGAUUCCAACCAUGUUGAUGCUGAGGUCCAUGUCCUUGUAUCGAGAGAAUUCCUAAAGGCUAUUGAGAAGAAUGUCUUGGGUCAGUGCAGGACGAGUCAAUGUGCAUCGAGACUCUUUCCUCCUCCAAUCUGACCAUUCUAUUUUUUUCUCAAGCGUUUAUUGAUGAGUACUUAUCUGGAAGUCUUUACUUACGAUCUAUGCAUCAGAUAUCAGAGUUAAGGUAUAUGCCCACUGCAAUUCAUUUUGACUACAAGAUCUGGAUGCUUUAUUUCGCAGAUUUAGUCCGCUGUUUUAUUGUCCACUGCGGAAGCAUGAUCUUCAUGUCAAACAAAGGGAUCGAUGGAGUUCAUACGUGGCAUAUAUCUACUGACAACAUUUGGGUCAAGGUAGCAAUGGUUUCAUCAUUUGCCGAUGAACUGAUGAUUCAAACGCCAAGGCCAUAGACUGAAGAUUACUCCUUUCAGAAGCUAGAAAAGGUUCUGAGAGGGCGUGCUUCUGAAACUGGAAGGAAGUCUUCAAAUGACACUGGAGGAAUGAUCUUAGACUCGUCAAAACUGUAGUGGCAGUGGAACUGCCACGUUGGUAGUGCAAGCAGCAGGUGAUGAAAUCGAUAUCCCACCAAAAAACACGAUCACUGUCAUCGGCGAAGCUGAUCCUGUGAAGGUCAUCAAGAAGGUGAGAAAGUUCAGAAAAUAUGCUGCAAUUUUGAGUGUAGGACCUGCAAAAGAGGAGAAGAAAGAUGGGAAGAAGGAGAGCAAAGAUGUCAUAAGUCAUCUCCCAAAGACAUGUCGCAAGUGCGAUGUCUGAUGUGUUAUCAACAAAGAUGCUUAUAGUUACAGCUCCACUAUCUGUUUAGGAAAUUAGAUAUGGGUUUAAUUUAUGGGUAAUUUCUUAUCUAUCUACAUUGGCAA